AGAGUUUGAUCCUGGCUCAGGAUGAACGCUGGCGGCGUGCCUAAUACAUGCAAGUCGAGCGAACAGAUAAGGAGCUUGCUCCUUUGAAGUUAGCGGCGGACGGGUGAGUAACACGUGGGUAACCUACCUAUAAGACUGGGAUAACUUCGGGAAACCGGAGCUAAUACCGGAUAACAUUUAGAACCGCAUGGUUCUAAAGUGAAAGAUGGUUUUGCUAUCACUUAUAGAUGGACCCGCGCCGUAUUAGCUAGUUGGUAAGGUAACGGCUUACCAAGGCGACGAUACGUAGCCGACCUGAGAGGGUGAUCGGCCACACUGGAACUGAGACACGGUCCAGACUCCUACGGGAGGCAGCAGUAGGGAAUCUUCCGCAAUGGGCGAAAGCCUGACGGAGCGACGCCGCGUGAGUGAUGAAGGGUUUCGGCUCGUAAAACUCUGUUAUUAGGGAAGAACAAAUGUGUAAGUAACUGUGCACAUCUUGACGGUACCUAAUCAGAAAGCCACGGCUAACUACGUG
rnacentral:rRNA from 1 species